UACAGGGGGGGGCAAGCGUUGUUCGGAAUUACUGGGCGUAAAGGGCUCGUAGGUGGCCAACUAAGUCAGACGUGAAAUCCCUCAGCUUAACUGGGGAACUGCGUCUGAUACUGGAUGGCUUGAGUUUGGGAGAGGGAUGCGGAAUUCCAGGUGUAGCGGUGAAAUGCGUAGAUAUCUGGAGGAACACCGGUGGCGAAGGCGGCAUCCUGGACCAAUACUGACACUGAGGAGCGAAAGCCAGGGGAGCAAACGGG
rnacentral:rRNA from 1 species